GGCACACUAUAUUUUUCAAUCCUUCAUUCGGCCAUUUUCACACGCCGCGCCGUUAGCCUGUUUGCGCUGUUCGUGGAAGUUGCAGAGGAUGUACUCAUCGCAUUUCAACGAUGAUAUAAUAUGUACAGCAAAAAUUUAUGGCAAGGGUGACAUGAAUCAGAUUGACAAGAAUCCAUAUUCCUACUCCUCAAUAAUGCUAUCAUCACUGCCAUCAGAUUCAUCAAUGAUAGUGGCAUCAGUGACACAUGCGGAUAAGUGUUGGACAUCACUGCAGGAAUAGCUUCCUUGUUGUGCCUGCCAAUAGCAAGGUACCAGAUUAUACAGCAGUUAUGUGGAAACAGAUUCCCACAAUAGGGGGACCAGAUUGACACCUACAUUGUACAGUAUCAGGCAGUUAUAUCAGAACUGGAAAAACUGGAUCCAAACAAGACUAUAUUGCUUGGAAGAAACAUGUCGACUCUGAAGUUUAACCCUUAUUAACCCAUGGCACUUCCAGAGACAUCCUGAUACCAUGGUUCUAUGUCAUUUGAAAUAUACCUGUGGAGGUUUUUAAAGUGGUUUUUUUUGGGGGGGGGGUGUUAUUAAUUGGAAGAAUUUAUAUUUGAUGAUUCAAAUGAAAAUCUGCAUGUUGAAUUAUGAAUGUCAUAAUGUACUUUUUGAAUGAG